AUAUAUAUAUAUAUAUAUAGAAUUAGGCUACUAUACUAUCUAUAGUACCGAGCUCCGGUACUAUAGUGUUUGUUUUCGAUCUUAGGGCGUUCAAAUCAAUGAUCCACACCGUUAAAUAUGAUCUAGGGUAUAUGAAUGUCUUAGGAAUAAAAUUUUAGUUUUUUUCGAUAUCGUUUACUUAGUAAAUAAAUUAUAUCAAAAUGGACGGUGGAAAUUGAAUAAUCUUUAAAAUUUGAGUAUAGGACUUUUAAAUUCAAGAUCAAGAAUGUUAACCUUAAUCUAUAUAGUUUAAAGUAUUUUCUAUCAAAAUUUGAAGAAAUUUAAAUUCUUCUACACCGUUAAACUCCAAACUUGUCAUAAUAGCCAUUGAAAAUUGACGAUUUUGAAAUAGUUUGAUCAUAAGGUAAACUAUGUCAAAAAAUUAUAAAAUUUUAUUUCUAGAAACUUUAAAUACCCUAGAUCAGUUUUAACGGUGUGGAUCAUUGAUUUGAACGCCUUAAGAUCGAAAACCAACACUAUAGUACCGGAGCUCGGUACUAUAGAUAGUAUAGUAGCCUAGCUCUAUAUAUAUAUAUAUAUAUAUAUAUAUAUACAAC
rnacentral:lncRNA from 1 species